UAUUGGGAUCUAGCAAUAUUUACUGAUGAACGUACAGGAAAACCCUCUUUGGAUUUGCCUAAGAUCUUUGGAAUUCAUUUAUUUCUCUCAGGGGUGGCUUGCUUUGGUUUUGGUGCAUUUCAUGUAACAGGGUUGUAUGGUCCUGGAAUAUGGGUGUCCGAUCCUUAUGGACUAACCGGAAGGGUACAGGCCGUAAAUCCAGCGUGGGGUGUGGAGGGUUUUGAUCCUUUUGUUCCGGGAGGAAUAGCUUCUCAUCAUAUUGCAGCAGGGACCUUAGGCAUAUUGGCAGGUCUAUUUCAUCUUAGUGUUCGUCCACCCCAACGCCUAUACAAAGGAUUACGUAUGGGAAAUAUUGAAACCGUCCUUUCCAGUAGUAUUGCUGCUGUCUUUUUUGCAGCUUUUGUAGUUGCUGGAACUAUGUGGUAUGGUUCAGCAACUACCCCGAUUGAAUUGUUUGGUCCCACGCGCUAUCAAUGGGAUCAAGGAUACUUCCAACUAAGAAAUAUAUAGAAGAAUUGGUGCUGGCUUAGCCGAAAAUCAAAGUUUAUCCGAAGCUUGGUCGAAAAUUCCUGAAAAACUGGCUUUUUAUGAUUACAUCGGCAAUAAAUCCGGCAAAAAGGGGGGAUUAUUCAGAGCGGGCUCAAUGGACAGCGGGGAUGGAAUAGCUGUUGGGUGGUUAGGACAUCCUAUCUUUAGAGAUAAAGAGGGGCAUGAACUUUUUGUACGUCGUAUGCCUACGUUUUUUGAAACAUUUCCAGUUGUUUUGGUCGAUGGGGACGGAAUUGUUAGAGCCGAUGUUCCUUUUAGAAGGGCCGAAUCAAAAUAUAGUGUCGAACAAGUAGGUGUAACUGUUGAGUUCUAUGGCGGCGAACUGAAUGGGGUCAGUUAUAGCGACCCUGCUACUGUGAAAAAAUACGCUAGACGUGCUCAAUUGGGUGAAAUUUUUGAAUUAGAUCGUGCUACUUUGAAAUCUGAUGGUGUUUUUCGUAGCAGUCCAAGGGGUUGGUUUACCUUUGGGCAUGCUUCGUUUGCUUUGCUCUUCUUC